GAUGAACGCUGGCGGCGUGCCUAAUACAUGCAAGUCGAGCGAACGGACGAGAAGCUUGUUUCUCUGAUGUUAGCGGCGGACGGGUGAGUAACACGUGGAUAACCUACCUAUAAGACUGGGAUAACUUCGGGAAACCGGAGCUAAUACCGGAUGAUAUUUUGAACCGCAUGGUUCAAAAGAGAAAGACGGUCUUGCUGUCACUUAUAGAUGGAUCCAGGCUGCAUUAGCUAGUUGGUAAGGUAACGGCUUACAAAGAGAACGAUGCAUAGCCGACCUGAGAGGGUGGUCGGCAGCAUUGGAGGUAAGAAACAGUCCAGACACCUAAGGAAAGCAGCAGAAGAGUAAGGGCCGCAAUGGGCGGAAACAUGACGAAGCAAAGCCGCGUGAGUGAUAGCGGUCUUCGGAGAGGAAAACACUGUUAUGAGGUAAAAACAUAUGUCUAAGUAACUGUGCACAUCUUGACGGUAACUAUUCAACAAGCCACGGCUAACUACGUG
rnacentral:rRNA from 1 species